rnacentral:lncRNA from 1 species
CUUAGUCUCAAUCUCUAUUAAGAGAGCUGUAUCAACAUUAACACUUUAAUAAAGUGCUACCAUCCAGCAACCUCUGACUCUUUGGCCAUUCUCUGCGCUGCCUUGCCACUUCUUCAGGUUCUCACCGAGGUCGAGCAACCCAGGGAAGGAGCAGCGGUGCCUGCAUUCAUCCAUUGAUCCCGUCAUCCGGUACCUUUCUACGCAUCAUCAUGGUUAACCCCCGCCGAACUUCUUCCGUUGGACGCGAAAUUCCCCUCCGUGCCGCGGGUAUACGCCGCAGGCGUGCCUCCCGGUCGGUACUUAGGCUCCCUACAGCUCGUCAGUUGUUUGCCGACGAGAACGACUUAACAAGCAGAGUAACAAGGUACUCUCCAGUGCGUAGUUUCGCGCCCUCCCGCGCAUACCCUUAUCGUCCUCCCCGAAACCCUCCAGCGGUUCUUCAAGAGGAACAACAGCCCAGAGCCAGGCCGCCAUCGCCCAAUUACUCCCCCAUCCAGGAUUCAUCUAAUCCCAGCUACUCGCCGGUCAGGACACCGGAAGAUCUUCCUUCCAUACCGGAAGAACGAAGACCCAUAGAACAAAGCACAGAAA